CAAUGGACCAGAGUAUUUCAGCCCUUCGUACUUCCUCAGCUGUACUAUUGCUUCUAGAGAGAGGGUGUUCAGAUUAGGCUACAACUGAUGCAGCUGUGCAUGACUUGAGGACUGUUAUGGGUAAGGCAACUGAACUCAUGGCAAAAUUUCUCUGGAAGUGCAUUUUAC